UCUGAGCCCAUACACUUCCAUUUAGUUUUACCUUUACAAUUAUGGAUAAUUUUGUUGUUGCUACUUAUAUGAACUUAUUUUACAAUAAAUUCUACUAACUCUACACAAACAAUGACAUUAUUUACCCAUAACAGUCACUUCAUCUCCCUUUUUGCUGCAGCCCAGGAGUGUGGUAGUAAUCUGCCUGCUGUACACAGGAAGGAAAAAUGGUUGGCUGCCGGAGGAAGCUUCCUGAAAAGGCCACCGACGAGCAGAUGUGGAGGAGACGGUCUUCAUCAAUAUGCUGGCUGAGGCAGGAGCAAGAAGUCAGAGCGUCUUCCAGCAUUCUGCCGACGCCCAAGCUGGCCGUCUCAGCCCUUCUCCUCAAAGACUCCGCACUGGAGUCCCGAACAGCGGGUGUCAGGAAAACCCUGACGGCAUGAUCCACCACCUCUCUCACCAGGUGGAAGCUUCGGCGUCGGAGCUCUGUGAGCAGCGUCACUUCCUGGAUCCAGCUGAUGUUGGAGCUGCUCAACAUCCUCUGCAGCUCGUCAAGCAGAUACCGGAGGAAGCUCUCCACUUCUUGCUCCGUUUUGGGACACACUACUGCCAGGAACAUUUGGAGACCGUCCAGUGUGACCUUUUUAAAGGAGAGACAAAGAAGUGAGUGAAUUGUUCCAGAACAUACAGCAAGGGCAGAAAAAAAACUGUCCUUACCCUCCUCCCGAGCAGCUGUGAAAGCCUUAUCUCUUUAUCAAGUUCCUCACACACUUCUUUCUCCAGUUGGGUCAGAGAGAGGAACGCUGCUCUGAUCCAGCCCUGCACACAUCAACCAAUCACUAUUUAGCAAUCUUUAGUUUCAUGUACUCUUACACAUAUUCUAUAAUCACCAAUUCAUGAUGGAUGUUCCUCAUCCCCAUCAUCUGGAACCUUUAAAACAAAUAUACACAUAUGUAUUCUCUCCUUUUCAGACAUGUUUAUACCAGGACUACCUCCUACUCACUUUGUGUGGAAGUUUGUCUUAGCCAGGCGCCAUUGCUUCAUGUGAUGCACCGAGAUAUGCCUGGGAACUUCAUUCUUCUUCUUCAUGAGCACAAACUGCCUCAUAAGCAUCUUCUGCACACACAAAGACGAUACGGGAACCCUAUAGGAAAGAAAACGAGAAGAGACUUUAGAUGUUGCUGACAAAGCUUCUCCCUGAGAUGAAAAUGAUUGCAGGACCGAUACCACGCCACAAUGUACAGGACCAAUUCUUUCUACUUGAAAAUGUUCAAUAUUGAAAUAUGUUGUGACUAAAUAAUUAGAAUAAAACACU